rnacentral:rRNA from 1 species
AUUGAACGCUGGCGGCAUGCCUUACACAUGCAAGUCGAACGGUAACAGGUCUUCGGAUGCUGACGAGUGGCGAACGGGUGAGUAAUACAUCGGAACGUGCCUAGUAGUGGGGGAUAACUACUCGAAAGAGUGGCUAAUACCGCAUGAGAGCUACGGAUGAAAGCAGGGGAUCGCAAGACCUUGUUAUACUAGAGCGGACGAUGGCAGGUUAGGUAAUUGGUGGGAUAAAAGCUUACCAAGCCGACGAUCUGUAGCUGGUCUGAGAGGACGAUCAGCCACACUGGGACUGAGACACGGCCCAGACGCCUACGGGAGGCAGCAGUGGGGAAUUUUGGACAAUGGGCGCAAGCCUGAUCCAGCAAUGCCGCGUGCAGGAUGAAGGCCUUCGGGUUGUAAACUGCUUUUGUACGGAACGAAAAGCCCUGGGUUAAUACCCUGGGGUCAUGACGGUACCGUAAGAAUAAGCACCGGCUAACUACGUGCCAGCAGCCGCCGUAAUAC